rnacentral:rRNA from 1 species
UACGGAGGGUGCGAGCGUUAAUCGGAAUUACUGGGCGUAAAGGGUGCGUAGGUGGUUGGAUAAGUUAUCUGUGAAAGCCCCGGGCUCAACCUGGGAAGGUCAGAUAAGACUGUUCGACUCGAGUAUUGGAGAGGGUAGUGGAAUUUCCGGUGUAGCGGUGAAAUGCGUAGAGAUCGGAAGGAACACCAGUGGCGAAGGCGGCUACCUGGCCAGAUACUGACACUGAAGCACGAAAGCGUGGGGAGCAAACAGG